rnacentral:tRNA from 1 species
GGGCCUAUAGCUCAGAUGGUUAGAGCGCACGCCUGAUAAGCGUGAGGUCAGUGGUUCAACUCCACUUAGGCCCACCA